GAACGCUGGCGGCGUGCCUAAUACAUGCAAGUCGAACGGCAGCGGGGGGAGCUUGCUCCCUGACGGCGGGUGGCGGACGGGUGAGUAACACGUAGGAAUCUACCUUAAUUAUAAUAGUUAGUGGGGGAUAACCCGGGGAAACUCGGGCUAAUACCGCAUAAUCUCUUCAAAGCAAAGCGGGGGAUCUUCGGACCUCGUGCUAUGAGAUGAGCCUGCGUCGGAUUAGCUAGUUGGUAGGGUAAUGGCCUACCAAGGCGACGAUCCGUAGCUGGUCUGAGAGGACGAUCAGCCACACUGGGACUGAGACACGGCC
rnacentral:rRNA from 1 species